GACGAACGCUGGCGGCGUGCUUAACACAUGCAAGUCGAGCGAGAAAGCGCCUUCGGGCGUGAGUACAGCGGCGAACGGGUGAGUAACACGUGGGCAACCUGCCCCAGAGACUGGGAUAACGUCCCGAAAGGGACGCUAAUACCGGGUGAUGCGCGACCUGCCAAGUAGGUCGCGCCAAAUGGUAGCUUCGGCUUCUGCUCUGGGAUGGGCCCGCGCCGGAUUAGCUUGUUGGUGGGGUAACGGCUCACCAAGGCGACGAUCCGUAGCUGGUCUGAGAGGACGAUCAGCCACACUGGGACUGAGACACGGCCCAGACUCCUACGGGUGGCAG
rnacentral:rRNA from 1 species